UUCCUACGGGACGCAGCAGUGGGGAAUAUUGCACAAUGGGGGGAACCCUGAUGCAGCAAUGCCGCGUGGGUGAAGAAGCACUCCGGUGCGUAAAGCCCUGUCAGCAGGGAAGAAAAUGACAGUACCUGACCAAGAAGCCCCGGCUAACUACGUGCCAGCAGCCGCGGUAAUACGUAGGGGGCAAGCGUUAUCCGGAUUUACUGGGUGUAAAGGGAGCGUAGACGGCAAUACAAGUCGGAAGUGAAAUACCCGGGCUCAACCUGGGAACUGCUUUGGAAACUGUAUGGCUGGAGUGCUGGAGAGGU
rnacentral:rRNA from 1 species